CUGAGACAUCCUGCCAACAACCACCAGAGUCUGAGGCCUGCUGCCAUCACCACGUGAGUGAGACAUCUUAGAAGUGGAUCCUUCAGCCUAAGUCAAGCCUUCAGAUGAUUGCGUCUUGACUGCAGCCUCAUCAAAGACCUUGAACCAGAACCACCCAACUCAGUUACUCUCAAAUGCUUAACCCAUAGAAACUAUAGCGAUUAUGGCUUGCUAUGGCAGUCAGCCCCCAAGAUGGACCCCAUUGAUUCUGGACUCCUGGGUGCCAAAACCAUUGUACCCAGAUCAACUGCAAACAAGAACAGAGUUUUAAU
rnacentral:lncRNA from 10 species